rnacentral:rRNA from 1 species
GUAGGGAAUCUUCCACAAUGGACGAAAGUCUGAUGGAGCAACGCCGCGUGAGUGAAGAAGGUCUUCGGAUCGUAAAACUCUGUUGUUAGAGAAGAACGUGCAUGAUAGUAACUGAUCAUGUAAUGACGGUAUCUAACCAGAAAGCCACGGCUAACUACGUGCCAGCAGCCGCGGUAAUACGUAGGUGGCAAGCGUUGUCCGGAUUUAUUGGGAGUAAAGGGAACGCAGGCGGUUUUUUAAGUCUGAUGUGAAAGCCUUCGGCGUAACCGAAGAAUAGCAUUGGAAACUGGAAGACUUGAGUGCAGAACAGGAGAGUGGAAUUCCAUGUGUAGCGGUGAAAUUCGUAGAUAUAUGGAGGAACACCAGUGGCGAAAGCGGCUCUCUUGUCUGUAACUUGCGCUGAGGUUCAAAAGCGUGGGUAGCAAACAGGAUUAGAAACCCUUGUAGUCC